AGAAAGAACCAGCCAGUGAAACUGAGAACAAGUGGCCAGGGAGGUUUGUUAUCGACCCAAUCAUUACAUCGCUACCCAAGAGUUGGAAACUUCCUGUGUUGCCCACGCUGGUCUCAAACUCCUGGACUCAUGGGAUCCUCCCACCUUGGCCUCCCAAAGCAGUGGUAUUACAGGCAUGAGCCAUUGCACUGGGCUCCUGUUUAGUUUUAAUUUUAAAACACCUCAAGAGUCAGAUAAUUCAGGGAAAGACCAUGCAAGGCUGUUACUGAAGAAAGUGCUACGAGUCUGUUCUAGACAUGGCUUGCCUAGCACUGAGCAUCCUUCCUCACUUCUAAGUGAGAAUUUUCCAGAUCUGUGCAUUGGGGUCCCCCAAGAAAGAGGCUCAGUCCUGAUGUACUGUUUCCUGUAUACUGCAUGCUCACCCCCCAAAACCACAUGGUUAAUCCAGAUCCAGCCCCUGCUUUCUUAGUUAUGAGGCUUCUCAUGGCAAAGCAAUAAAAAGCAAGUUUUCAAUGAUAAAGUCAUGUCUGAAAACAUGUUAAUUGUCAUCAUCUUUGAUGUUGUAACCUGAGCUAUAGAUUGUUGGGAUGCACACGUUACUCUUUUAAGCUUAUGUGCCUUGAUUCUGUCUACAUCAUUUCUUUCUUUCUGAACUGUGAACUGCGCUAAUUUGAUGGGGUUUGCUACCUGAUUGGGGUCCUGACCUUAGCCUUCAUCUUGCCAUAUACAGUUUGUUUUUGUCUCCAUCAGCGUUAGCUCUGUUCAACGCCCUUGUGGAGUCCAGGACUUAGAGAGAGGAUCUCCAAGCAGAAGCCCCCAGCCCACGUGAGAACAGGGAGACCCUUGUGCCCUUAACUGUUUUCCAUAGUACUGCCCAGCCUUGUACACUCUGGCCCAAAUGUUCCUCACCUUUGGAAGACACAGAACUUCUUUCAAAACCAUUGAAAUAUCGAGAUCAUUUCCGCAGAAAGAAAAUGUAAUUUAAGGUAAUUCGUGGACUUACCCCCACCCCCCCAAUUUUAUUCAUGAAUCAUAGUAAUUCUAGGGACCUCAGGUUACAAACUUCACUUUGGUCAGAAACAUUAAAAGCUAUUUUGGGAUAAGACAGAAACCAUAGGUUAAAUCUUUUUUUUUUUUAAACAUACUUCUUAGGGGUUAACAAAAUGUCAUAGAUUGUUUAUAACUAUAUGAAAUACGUUCCUGAAAGCAUCAAAAUCUUUAUUAAUGAACUAGUACUAAAAUGCUUACUAGCCUAACCUUGUACUAAAAGACCCUGGAGUAUUGUUAUAAUCAUUAGUAUUUUGAACCAUGGUCAGUUUGGGUUUUACUCUUCAUUUCAGGCUUGGUUUCUGCUUAUAUGUUAUUUUGCAUUUGUGCCUCGAAAGUUUAUGCCUUUGCUCACUUCUCAACAACUUUAGCAUUUACAAUAUAUUAGAAAAUGCUAUCAAUGACCAGAGACUAGAGUAGCAGGUCCCAUAGCUGAUGUUUAUUUUGUAAAAGCAGGAUGUAGUAGAAAUAACACAUGUACCACAGCGAGAAGGCUGGGGUCGAAAUUCUUGUGCUGUAGCAGAAAAGGUAUUUGAACCUCCUAAACUUAUUUAAGGUAGAGUCCUGGUGUUUGGCAAAUAGUAAUAAUAGUCAGGACCUUACCAUGUGCCAGACAGCAUUCCCAGAACUCACACAUACAGAGCUCAUUUCAUCUUUACCACAAAUAUGGGGGAUGUAUGUGAUUGUCCACAAUUUAUAAAUGAGAGGAAGGGAGCAGAGAGACUUGAAAUAACAUGUUUGAAUCACAGACCUAAAAGUGCAAAGGCCAGAUUCAAGUGCAGCCACUGAACUCCAGCAUCAAAGCUCCUCCCCACCUCACUAUACUGCCUCCCAUGGGUGACCUCGGGGGUUACAUUAACUCAUGUAUGUAUCAGUGCUUAGAGCAAUUCCUGGCAUGGAGCAAAUGCCAUGUAUGUAUGAGCUGUUACUAUUUUUGAGAAACAGCACAGCAUAGCUUAAUGAUCAGGAACAUGGACUAUAGAACUACAUUGUCUGAACUCAACCCCCAAUGCUGGUUCCUCCAUCAGUAACUUGUGUGACCUUGGACAAAUUACUUGUCAUCUCUGUGAUCAUCAUAAAUGAAGAUGAAAAUAGUCUACCUUGUAGGGUUAUUGUACAGAUUAAGUAAGAUAAUAUUCCUAAAGCACUUAAGGCACUUUUUUUUUUGGAGGGGGCUUUUUAUUUUUUAACUUUUAGGUUCAGGGGUACAUGUACAUGUUUGUUACACAGAAAAAAUGCAUGUCAUGAGGGUUUGGUGUACAGAUUAUUUUGUCACCCAGAUAAUAAGCAUAGUACCUGAUAAGGCAGUUUUUUAAUCCUCUCCUUCCUCCCACCUCCCACCCUCAAGUAGGCCCCAGUGUCUGUUGCUGCCUUCUUUGUGCCCAUGUGUUCUCAAUGUUUUAACUCUUACUACUAAGUGAGAAAGUACAAUAUGUGAUUUUCUGAUCUUACAAUUAUUUGCUUAGGAUAAUGGUCUCCAGCUUUAUCCAUGUUGCUGCAAAGGACAUGAUCUCAUUCUUUUUUAUGGCUGCAUAGUAUUCCAUGGUGUAUGUGUACUACAUUUUCUUUAUCCAGUCUGCUGUUCAUGGCCAUUUUGGUUGAUUCUAUAUCUUUGCCAAUGUGAGUAGUGCUGUGAUUAACACACAUGUAUGUAACUGAAUCAUGCAUGAAUCAUGUAGAAUGAUUUAUUUUCCUUUGGGUAUACAGCCAGUAAUGGGAUUGCUAGGUCAAAUGGUACUUCUGUUGUAAGUUCUUUGAUAAACACCCACACUGCUUUCCACAAUGGCUGAACUAAUUUACAUUUUCACCAGCACUCUGUAAGCAUUGCAUCAUCUUCAUGACCUCUCCAGCAUCUGUUAUUUUUUCUUUUUUGUAAUAGCCAUUCUGAUUGGUGUGAGAUGUUGGGGCUAUUUGGUUUUUGCUUAAUUUAAGUUCCUUAUAGACUGGAUGUUAGACCUUUGUUGGAUGCAUAAUUUGAAAAGAUUUUCUCCCAAUCUGUAGGUUUGUCUGUUUAUUGUCUUGUUAGUUUUUCUUGUGCAGAAGCUCUUUGAUUAGAUCUUAUUUGUCAAUUUUUGUAUUUGUUGCAGUUGAUUUUGGCAUCUGAGGAGGUGUAUGAUCUCUACAAUAAGAACUGCAAAAACACUGCUCAAAGAAAUCAGAGAUGAUACAAACAGUGAAAAAAUAUCCCAUGCUCAUGGAUAGGAAGAAGCAAUAUUAUUUAAAUGGCCAUGCUACUCAAAGCAAUUUACAGAUUCAGUGCUAUCCCUAUCAAACUACCAAUGACAUUCUUCACGGAAUUAGAAAAAACUAUUUUAAAAUUCAUACAGAACCAUAAAAGCCCAAAUAGCCAAGGCAAUCAAUUCUAAGCAAAAAGAACAAAACUUGGAGGCAUCAAUUUAUGUGACUUGAAACUACACUACAGGGCUACCGUAACCAAAACAGCCUGGUACUGGUACAAAAGCAUACACAUAGACCAACAGAACAGAAUAGAGAGCCUAGAAAUAAUGCCACACACCUGUAAUCAUCUGAUCUUUGACAAAGUUGACAAAAGCAAUGGGGAAAGGACUCCCUAUUCAAUAAAUGGUGCUGGGAUAACUGGGUAGCCACAUGCAAAAGAUUGAAACUGGACCCCUUCCUUACACCAUAUACAAAUAUCAACUCAAGAUGAAUUAAAGAAUUAAAUGUGAAACCUCAAACUAUAAAAAUCCUUCAAUAUAACCUAGGAAUUAGCAUUUUUGACAUAGGCCCCAGCAAAGAUACUUUCUUCUUAAUACCUAGGAAGUGCCCAUUUACAAAAAUAAUGUCCUUCUUUGCUGACUUUGAAAAUAUACUCGGAUAAAACAGAGUAGGUCUUAUUAAUUGCAUAUGUUCACAUUUCAAAAUGUAAGUAGCCUUAUGUAAACCCCUAAAUAGCUAGUGACAUGAAUUUUUCAUUUCUUACAUGUGAAUAAACUUAAGCUGUACAUAGUUAAGAAGGCUUGGAACAAUUCAUAGAGAUUAUGACCUGUGAAGAACUGGCCAUCCAGAUAGGUCCCCACCACAUGCCACUGACCUUAUCUCCACCAUCACUGACUUCUUUUUAUGUUUAGAGGAUCCAGAUGCUCAGUGUCAUCUUCGAAGAUGCCAGGUCACAUUGGCAAAGGCCGCAAGAACUGAUAUGAAAAACCAGAUGCAAUGAAAACCGUAACUGUACAUGAGACAGAACUGCCCAAGGUCAAGCUGGGGCAUUCUGUGUGAAGAGGAAGAUGCCUUGGCAGAAGAUCACUUCAUCAUGACCAGGGCAUCAGAAGAAGGGGUCGCAGAAUUUAUUCAUGAUUCAAUAAGUAUGCACCACCUGUCUGGAAGUGAGUUAGCAUAAAACAUAAGUUCAGUAAGAAUACAAGAAUGAGUGAGUGAAUUAAGAAAUGAAUGGAUUGGGAGUUACCAUUGGCCACACACCGCUUAGACAGUAGAAUAUCUCAGCCAGGUAGAAAGAAUGGAUCAUGGUGGCCCAGCAAAGCAUGUACUUCCUGGGGCAGAUUGUGGCAUCAUUAUCUCCAACAUCUCUGACAAUUUCUGUUUCAAGUUAAGGGCUGGUCAGCUUCUAUUCUUAGAAACACUUUCUUUACACAUGUCAGUAAAUCAAAUCUUGUCUUUAGAGACAAUCCAUCUUGUUAAACUAACUUUGUUUGGGUCUACCCUGACCCUGUUUGUGCCACCCCUGCCCCCAUACAUAUAAUCAGUUUUGUCUGUAGUUAUAAUUUGUCCAUAAUUUGGAAAAGAGAAGCCUAAAAAAGUUCACUCUAGACACUUUCAGCUAGGAACAAACUUAUAUGUGAAAAUAAUUAAAAUGUGGGGAGUGAAGGUUUAUAGUGGAACUAUUUACAGACCCUCAAACACUGCACAACAGUUGAAACUUUGCUGUAGUGACUUCAUUCUCUUAGUUGUCAAUCUGUUUUUCUUCUACAUUUCUUCCACAUACUUCUGGUAUAUUUUUAAUAAAGAUUUUUCAAAAAGAUAAAUAUGGCUUAUAUUUUCCCAGCUCAAAAUUCCCCUGAAGGCCUCCGAAGCAGUAAAUAGUAGUGCUU
rnacentral:lncRNA from 1 species